rnacentral:misc_RNA from 1 species
ACUAUCUGAUAACAAAGAAAAAGGUAAUAUUCACCCAGGGACACUUUUAAGUUUGCAUCCUUACAAAUGAGUUCAGUUGUAUGUUGAUUUGAAAAUUGCUUAUUUUGAAAACUUUUGAGAACCUUACUUGGACCUUCAAGUCUGCUACUCCUAACACCUUCAGUCUUUAGAUUCUGUGUCUAUGUAAUUAUCCUUCAAUCUUA